rnacentral:rRNA from 1 species
GACGAACGCUGGCGGCGUGCUUAACACAUGCAAGUCGAACGGUGAAGCCUUCGGGUGGAUCAGUGGCGAACGGGUGAGUAACACGUGAGCAAUCUGCCCUUGACUCUGGGAUAACUUCGGGAAACCGGAGCUAAUACCGGAUAUGACAUCUGGCCGCAUGGUCUGGGUGUGGAAAGAUUUAUCGGUCAAGGAUGAGCUCGCGGCCUAUCAGCUUGUUGGUGGGGAAUGGCCCACCAAGGCGACGACGGGUAGCCGGCCUGAGAGGGCGACCGGCCACACUGGGACUGAGACACGGCCCAGACUCCUACGGGAGGCAGCAGUUUCGAAUCAUUCACAAUGGGCGAAAGCCUGAUGGUGCGACGCCGCGUGAGGGAUGAAGGCCU